rnacentral:rRNA from 1 species
UACGUAGGGUGCUAGCGUUGUCCGGAUUUAUUGGGCGUAAAGGGCUCGUAGGCGGCGUGUCGCGUCGGGGAGUGAAAGCCCGCUGCUUAACGGCGGGUUGGCUUCCGGUACGGGCAUCGCUGGAGUGCGGCAGGGGAGACUGGAAUUCCUGGUGUAGGCGGUGGAAUGCGCAGAUAUCAGGAGGAACACCGGUGGCGAAGGCGGGUCUCUGGGCCGUUACUGACGCUGAGGAGCGAAAGCGUGGGGAGCGAACAGG